ensembl:lncRNA
AAGCUCAAAUGCUCAAAGGAUCACACAGAAUUUGACUUAGAGUCUCCGUCUCACAGUCCACACACUAACCUGAGAACAAGAACACUGUCCUCCUCACUGUCUCCGUCUCACAGUCCACACACUAACCUGAGAACAAGAACACUGUCCUCCUCACUGUCUCCGUCUCACAGUCCACACACUAACCUGAGAACAAGAACACUGUCCUCUUCACUGUCUCCGUCUCACAGUCCACACACUAACCUGAGAACAAGAACACUGUCCUCUUCACUGUCUCCGUCUCACAGUCCACACACUAACCUGAGAACAAGAACACUGUCCUCCUCACUGUCUCCGUCUCACAGUUCACACACUAACCUGAGAACAAGAACACUGUCCUCCUCACUGUCUCCGUCUCACAGUCCACACACUAACCUGAGAACAAGAACACUGUCCUCUUCACUGUCUCCGUCUCACAGUUCACACACUAACCUGAGAACAAGAACACUGUCCUCCUCACUGUCUCCGUCUCACAGUCCACACACUAACCUGAGAACAAGAACACUGUCCUCUUCACUGUCUCCGUCUCACAGUCCACACAUUAACCUGAGAACAAGAACACUGUCCUCCUCACUGUCUCCGUCUCACAGUCCACACACUAACCUGAGAACAAGAACACUGUCCUCCUCACUGUCUCCGUCUCACAGUCCACACACUAACCUGAGAACAAGAACACUGUCCUCCUCACUGUCUCCGUCUCACAGUCCACACACUAACCUGAGAACAAGAACACUGUCCUCCUCACUGUCUCCGUCUCACAGUCCACACACUAACCUGAGAACAAGAACACUGUCCUCCUCACUGUCUCCGUCUCACAGUCCACACACUAACCUGAGAACAAGAACACUGUCCUCCUCACUGUCUCCGUCUCACAGUCCACACACUAACCUGAGAACAAGAACACUGUCCUCUUCACUGUCUCCGUCUCACAGUCCACACACUAACCUGAGAACAAGAACACUGUCCUCUUCACUGUCUCCGUCUCACAGUUCACACACUAACCUGAGAACAAGAACACUGUCCUCUUCACUGUCUCCGUCUCACAGUCCACACACUAACCUGAGAACAAGAACACUGUCCUCUUCACUGUCUCCGUCUCACAGUCCACACACUAACCUGAGAACAAGAACACUGUCCUCUUCACUGUCUCCGUCUCACAGUCCACACACUAACCUGAGAACAAGAACACUGUCCUCCUCACUGUCUCCGUCUCACAGUCCACACACUAACCUGAGAACAAGAACACUGUCCUCCUCACUGUCUCCGUCUCACAGUCCACACACUAACCUGAGAACAAGAACACUGUCCUCUUCACUGUCUCCGUCUCACAGUCCACACACUAACCUGACAACAAGAACACUGUCCUCCUCACUGUCUCCGUCUCACAGUCCACACACUAACCUGAGAACAAGAACACUGUCCUCCUCACUGUCUCCGUCUCACAGUCCACACACUAACCUGAGAACAAGAACACUGUCCUCUUCACUGUCUCCGUCUCACAGUCCACACACUAACCUGAGAACAAGAACACUGUCCUCUUCACUGUCUCCGUCUCACAGUCCACACACUAACCUGAGAACAAGAACACUGUCCUCCUCACUGUCUCCGUCUCACAGUCCACACACUAACCUGAGAACAAGAACACUGUCCUCUUCACUGUCUCCGUCUCACAGUCCACACACUAACCUGAGAACAAGAACACUGUCCUCCUCACUGUCUCCGUCUCACAGUCCACACACUAACCUGACAACAAGAACACUGUCCUCCUCACUGUCUCCGUCUCACAGUCCACACACUAACCUGACAACAAGAACACUGUCCUCCUCACUGUCUCCGUCUCACAGUCCACACACUAACCUGACAACAAGAACACUGUCCUCCUCACUGUCUCCGUCUCACAGUCCACACACUAACCUGAGAACAAGAACACUGUCCUCCUCACUGUCUCCGUCUCACAGUCCACACACUAACCUGACAACAAGAACACUGUCCUCCUCACUGUCUCCGUCUCACAGUCCACACACUAACCUGAGAACAAGAACACUGUCCUCCUCACUGUCUCCGUCUCACAGUCCACACACUAACCUGACAACAAGAACACUGUCCUCCUCACUGUCUCCGUCUCACAGUCCACACACUAACCUGAGAACAAGAACACUGUCCUCCUCACUGUCUCCGUCUCACAGUCCACACACUAACCUGAGAACAAGAACACUGUCCUCCUCACUGUCUCCGUCUCACAGUCCACACACUAACCUGAGAACAAGAACACUGUCCUCUUCACUGUCUCCGUCUCACAGUCCACACACUAACCUGAGAACAAGAACACUGUCCUCCUCACUGUCUCCGUCUCACAGUCCACACACUAACCUGAGAACAAGAACACUGUCCUCCUCACUGUCUCCGUCUCACAGUCCACACACUAACCUGAGAACAAGAACACUGUCCUCCUCACUGUCUCCGUCUCACAGUCCACACACUAACCUGAGAACAAGAACACUGUCCUCUUCACUGUCUCCGUCUCACAGUCCACACAUUAACCUGAGAACAAGAACACUGUCCUCCUCACUGUCUCCGUCUCACAGUUCACACACUAACCUGAGAACAAGAACACUGUCCUCUUCACUGUCUCCGUCUCACAGUCCACACACUAACCUGAGAACAAGAACACUGUCCUCUUCACUGUCUCCGUCUCACAGUCCACACACUAACCUGACAACAAGAACACUGUCCUCUUCACUGUCUCCGUCUCACAGUUCACACACUAACCUGAGAACAAGAACACUGUCCUCUUCACUGUCUCCGUCUCACAGUCCACACACUAACCUGAGAACAAGAACACUGUCCUCCUCACUGUCUCCGUCUCACAGUCCACACACUAACCUGAGAACAAGAACACUGUCCUCUUCACUGUCUCCGUCUCACAGUCCACACACUAACCUGAGAACAAGAACACUGUCCUCUUCACUGUCUCCGUCUCACAGUCCACACACUAACCUGAGAACAAGAACACUGUCCUCUUCACUGUCUCCAUCUCGUCUACAUGGAGACGUGCGUCGUUGGAAAAGUGCCGUUCAUGCGCAUUUCUCUCCACUGAAGCGAUAG